rnacentral:rRNA from 1 species
GGGCUUAGUGGUGGGGUGACUGCGUACCUUUUGUAUAAUGGGUCAGCGACUUAUAUUCUGUAGCAAGGUUAACCGAAUAGGGGAGCCGGAGGGAAACCGAGUCUUAACCGGGCGUUAAGUUGCAGGGUAUAGACCCGAAACCCGGUGAUCUAGCCAUGGGCAGGUUGAAGGUUGGGUAACACUAACUGGAGGACCGAACCGACUAAUGUUGAAAAAUUAGCGGAUGACCUGUGGCUGGGGGUGAAAGGCCAAUCAAACCGGGAGAUAGCUGGUUCUCCCCGAAAGCUAUUUAGGUAGCGCCUCGUGAAUUCAUCUCCGGGGGUAGAGCACUGUUUCGGCUAGGGGGCCAUCCCGGCUUACCAACCCGAUGCAAACUGCGAAUACCGGAGAAUGUUAUCACGGGAGACACACGGCGGGUGCUAACGUCCGUCGUGAAGAGGGAAACAACCCAGACCGCCAGCUAAGGUCCCAAAGUCAUGGUUAAGUGGGAAACGAUGUGGGAAGGCCCAGACAGCCAGGAUGUUGGCUUAGAAGCAGCCAUCAUUUAAAGAAAGCGUAAUAGCUCACUGGUCGAGUCGGCCUGCGCGGAAGAUGUAACGGGGCUAAACCAUGCACCGAAGCUGCGGCAGCGACGCUGAUGCGUUGUUGGGUAGGGGAGCGUUCUGUAAGCCUGCGAAGGUGGCCUGUGAGGGUUGCUGGAGGUAUCAGAAGUGCGAAUGCUGACAUAAGUAACGAUAAAGCGGGUGAAAAGCCCGCUCGCCGGAAGACCAAGGGUUCCUGUCCAACGUUAAUCGGGGCAGGGUGAGUCGACCCCUAAGGCGAGGCCGAAAGGCGUAGUCGAUGGGAAACGGGUUAAUAUUCCCGUACUUGGUGUUACUGCGAAGGGGGGACGGAGAAGGCUAUGUUGGCCGGGCGACGGUUGUCCCGGUUUAAGCGUGUAGGUGUGUGUUCCAGGUAAAUCCGGUUCACUUUAACACUGAGGCGUGAUGACGAGGCACUACGGUGCUGAAGCAACAAAUGCCCUGCUUCCAGGAAAAGCCUCUAAGCAUCAGGUAACAUCAAAUCGUACCCCAAACCGACACAGGUGGUCAGGUAGAGAAUACCAAGGCGCUUGAGAGAACUCGGGUGAAGGAACUAGGCAAAAUGGUGCCGUAACUUCGGGAGAAGGCACGCUGACACGUAGGUGAAGUGAUUUACUCAUGGAGCUGAAGUCAGUCGAAGAUACCAGCUGGCUGCAACUGUUUAUUAAAAACACAGCACUGUGCAAACACGAAAGUGGACGUAUACGGUGUGACGCCUGCCCGGUGCCGGAAGGUUAAUUGAUGGGGUCAGCGCAAGCGAAGCUCCUGAUCGAAGCCCCGGUAAACGGCGGCCGUAACUAUAACGGUCCUAAGGUAGCGAAAUUCCUUGUCGGGUAAGUUCCGACCUGCACGAAUGGCGUAAUGAUGGCCAGGCUGUCUCCACCCGAGACUCAGUGAAAUUGAACUCGCUGUGAAGAUGCAGUGUACCCGCGGCAAGACGGAAAGACCCCGUGAACCUUUACUAUAGCUUGACACUGAACAUUGAGCCUUGAUGUGUAGGAUAGGUGGGAGGCUUUGAAGUGUGGACGCCAGUCUGCAUGGAGCCGGCCUUGAAAUACCACCCUUUAAUGUUUGAUGUUCUAACGUGGACCCGUGAUCCGGGUUGCGGACAGUGUCUGGUGGGUAGUUUGACUGGGGCGGUCUCCUCCUAAAGAGUAACGGAGGAGCACGAAGGUUGGCUAAUCCUGGUCGGACAUCAGGAGGUUAGUGCAAUGGCAUAAGCCAGCUUGACUGCGAGCGUGACGGCGCGAGCAGGUGCGAAAGCAGGUCAUAGUGAUCCGGUGGUUCUGAAUGGAAGGGCCAUCGCUCAACGGAUAAAAGGUACUCCGGGGAUAACAGGCUGAUACCGCCCAAGAGUUCAUAUCGACGGCGGUGUUUGGCACCUCGAUGUCGGCUCAUCACAUCCUGGGGCUGAAGUAGGUCCCAAGGGUAUGGCUGUUCGCCAUUUAAAGUGGUACGCGAGCUGGGUUUAGAACGUCGUGAGACAGUUCGGUCCCUAUCUGCCGUGGGCGCUGGAGAACUGAGGGGGGCUGCUCCUAGUACGAGAGGACCGGAGUGGACGCAUCACUGGUGUUCGGGUUGUCAUGCCAAUGGCACUGCCCGGUAGCUAAAUGCGGAAGAGAUAAGUGCUGAAAGCAUCUAAGCACGAAACUUGCCCCGAGAUGAGUUCUCCCUGAGACUUAGAGUCUCCUGAAGGAACGUUGAAGACGACGACGUUGAUAGGCCGGGUGUGUAAGCGCAGCGAUGCGUUGAGCUAACCGGUACUAAUGAACCGUGAGGCUUAACCUUACA